GACACCGUAAGGAUUGACAGACUGAUAGCUCUCUCUUGAUUCAGUGGGUGGUGGUGCAUGGCCGUUCUUAGUUGGUGGAGUGAUUUGUCUGGUUUAUUCCGAUAACGAACGAGACUCUGGCCUAUUAAACUUGACACUGUCCGUCUCUUGUGACGGCGGUGCGCUUCUUAGAGGGAUCAUCGGCGUCCCAGCCGAAGGAAAGGGAGCAAUAACAGGUCUGUGAUGCCCUUAGAUGUUCUGGGCUGCACGCGUGUUACACUGAAGUGGUCAGCGCGCCGUUCAACACCCCUCUCCGUGAGGAGCUUGGGCAAACGUUUGAACCCUUUUCGUGAUGGGAAUUGGGGGUUGCAAUUGUCCCCCAUGAACGAGGAAUUCCAAGUAAGCGCAGGUCACUAGCCUGCGUUGAUUAAGUCCCUGCCCUUUGUACACACCGCCCGUCGCUACUACCGAUGGAUGAUUUGGUGAGGUCGCCUAGACUGGCCGCUGGCUUCGGCCGUGCGGCCGGGAAGACGCCCAAACUUGGUCGUCUAGAGGAAGUAAAAGUCGUAACAAGGUUUCC
rnacentral:rRNA from 1 species